AAACCAGGCAGCAACUAGGAAGAGAAAAAAAUCGGGAAGAAAGGAAGGGAAAAAAAGGAAGAAAAGAAGAAAGGGAAGAAAAAAAUGGUAAGAUUGGAUCUCUUCAAGCCUGAAUUUAAUCUAUUUAUUUGUUUCAAGUGAUAAAAGAAUGAUUUAUGUUGAAUUUCUAGGGUGUUAACUUGUGGUAAAAAAUUUUAGAUUUAUGAGAUAUGAGUACAAGUUGGAGUUCUAGUUUCUAGAUUUUUUGAAUUUCCAUUCAAUCAAGGUUAGUAAUACUAUUUUUAGUAAACCCUAAAUUUCUAAUUGAAUGCUUGAGGAAAGAUAGUUUGGGGAAAUUAUAAACUUGAUGAAAUACACACUUGAAAGGAUUAAUAUAAUGAACAAGAUGUAAAUUUAAUUGGUUGAAUUAUGGUUAUUAGUUUUACUAGAUUUGGAGGAUGGGAAAAAUUAUUAUUAUGAGGGGAUGAAGGUUAUUUGAUGAAUUAGAUACUAGUGAAUGGAUUGGUAGGUGGAAUUAGCUCUAAGUGAUUAAAGGAAAUUUGGGAAAAAUUAUUCAAGUAUCGAGAAGUCAAUUUUAGUAUUCGAUUAAUAAUAUUAAGAGAUACUUUGUAUGGGAGUUGUUAAAUUAGUUAUUUUACAUCUUAUUUCAGGUGGUGACGUGAAAGCUUGGCAAGGCUUGUAAAUUUACCAGAUUGCUAUCCAGAGAUCUAUGAGUGGAUAUAAAAACUUAUUUUUCAAAAUUAGUAUUUAUUAAAUUUAUGUUAGAUCAGAAAACUUGUAUCUCAUACAGUUGAUUUUAUAGUAUGAUUUUAAGAAUAAAGUGGAUUUAUAAUCUGUUGUUUUUGAAGUUAAAUUCAAUUUAGUUAAAUUAUUUCAUUAUCGUAUUAUUUUAGUAUUAAAUAUUUCAGCAUAUUUAAAGUUCUUUGUAAAACCACCAUAAAGUAUCCAGGUGAUUUUACUCUAGUCUGCACUUAUGUGAAUGUAUUUCUAUAGUGUAUGAUCAGUUAAGGUUAUUUUACCCGCUUUGCACUAGUGUGAAUGUAUUUCCACGGUGCAUGACCAGUUAUGGUGAUCUUAACCACUCUGUACUAUUGUGAAUGUGUUCUAUAGUAUAUGACCAGAUUAUUAGAGGUCUUUGGGACCCUCUCUCAUACUCACAUACGCUUUAGGCUGUGUACUAGGGUGAUUAGCUUUUGGGACAGCUCUGCAUACGUAUGACUAGAUUAUCAGAUUAGAAUGACUUUGCUUUGUAUAUCGAGAUUACUCUGUACAUGAGCAAAGCUAUUCAUUGGGUAUCUUUUUGGUGUGAUUUUUCAGUAUUUCUACAGCUUAUCAGAUUUUAGAUGAUAUAAUUCAGUCUAUUCAGUUCUAAGAAUAAAGCUUCCAGCUUAUAGUAUUGAACAACAUCAAUAUUUUAUAGAUUUUCAUGGAUGUUAGAUUAUUUAUAUUCAUCAUAUUUUAUAGUUAAUGAACUAGAAUAAAGAACAAAGAAUUUUAUGAUCCAAUCAUGUUUCUGUUUUCAAAGUGCUACUAGUUUUCAGAAUUUCUCAAAGUUUUCAUAGAGCAAGAAUUUUUAGAAAAUAUGCUUAAAUGAGAAAAGUUUACUUAUUUGCAAAUCAUCCACUCAUUGAACUUUAAGCUCAUAUAUUUUUUACCUUUUUCUUUAUCAGACAGAUAGCAGUCGAAUUGAGCAGCUUUGAAGCUUGUCAAACCACCGAAUUGAGCCACGCAUCAUAGGUUGUAUGACAUCCUUUAUCAGAUUAUGAAUUAUGUGUUCUUUUGGAAUACAAGUAUCUUAAAUCAAAAAAGUUCAUUAAGGGCUCAUUAGAUAUUUGCUAUCUUUAGUAUAUUUGAGGAUCGUUGGUUGUAAAGCAAUUAAAUGUUGAUUUGCCAGCAUUUUAUUUGAAUAGUUUAUAUUUUGAGGGACUAUCAU
rnacentral:lncRNA from 1 species